AAACAACUAACCAAAUAAUAAGAAUAAGAAGUCGACGAUCAAGUUCAUGUUGAGGGAGAAUUCCAAGUCUAAGUUCAAGAACACGACUAAUACAUCAUUAAACCUAGACGAUGGAGACUCCGUUGCACCUCCUCAAGGUACCUCCGGUAGCGGAUGAUGGAGCUCGGGAUGAUCGCAUGGCACACACCAUAACUUAGACAGCCUGGGAAUGUUUACUCUGAUAACGAAUAUGUAUUUUGGAAACUAACACUUUGUUUAUGUUUGAAAACGAUGAAUUUGCUUAACGUAAUGUUUUAUUAAAUGAAAUUUUUAGUCUUGAAUUU